rfam:Medicago truncatula strain A17 chromosome 4, whole genome shotgun sequence.
AUACCUUUCUCGGCCUUUUGGCUAAGAUCAAGUGUAGUAUCUGUUCUUAUCAGUUUAAUAUCUGAUAUGUGUUCCAAUGGUUCACAUGAUAUUAAAUUACUUUUUUGAGGGGGAGAAGCCACUUCAAUAGCUUGCUAUUGGGCUUCUCAUGUGUUGCACUAUUGCAUGAGUUAGGUACACCCCACCAAUU